rnacentral:rRNA from 1 species
UACGUAGGGGGCAAGCGUUGUCCGGAUUUAUUGGGCGUAAAGAGCGUGUAGGCGGCCUGACAGGUCUGCUGUGAAAACUCGAGGCUCAACCUCGAGAUGUCGGCGGAAACCGUCUGGCUAGAGUCCGGAAGAGGAGAGUGGAAUUCCUGGUGUAGCGGUGAAAUGCGUAGAUAUCGGGAGGAACACCAGUGGCGAAGGCGAUCACCUGGGGUUGUUCUGACGCUGAGGAGCGAAAGCUAGGGGAGCAAACGGG